CCAUGUUUGACAUAUGGUCAUAAUCAAAUAAGCAUGUUAAAACCAAGUAUGUUCUAAUACGGACGUGAAUAAAUCAGUGCUUCAGAUAAAGUUCAACACAGAGCUAACAUUUUUAGAAAUUGUGGAACUGCUUUUUCACCUACCAUGUAUAUGACCGCUUUGGACGAUGUCCCUUCUUGGAGCUCUAGGUCCACCCCCUAGACCAGGGCUCCGUCAACCCAACUGCCUGAUGGCUCAGUGUCUCUUGCCAGGGACUGUGGACCAUUUGUGAACAAGGAACAUGCCAUGUUCACCGUGUGGCCCCGGAGCCUAGCCCAAUGCACGAACGCAGUAUGCUCAACUUGCAUGAACCAUUCCCAGCAUUUCACUGGAAACUGGACACCACUAGAGAGAGCUCAGUAGGGUCCUGGGAAGUAUUAUCAACCUGAAAUUCCAGUGUGAUACAGGGAGUUGAGGACCAACAAAUGGGGAACUCUACUUUCGUAGACCAGCAUACCGUUAUGGUGUGGCCUAAGUAUGGUGUGUUUCCCAAAAUAGGACACAUACAAGAAAACUUCCUUGAGACAAAGGGUAUGAACAUUUUGCAUUUUGAAGGCUUCUGAAAUACUUCAACAAACUUAUACUGUCAGAAACGUAUAUUUAUUCCUACAUGUGGACUUUAAUAAACUUUAAAAAUUAAUUUGAGGAUCGGUAUCUUUAUAAUAUUUAUUCUCCCUAUCAAAGAACCUUGUCUAUAUCUCUAUUUUAUUAAAUCUUCAUUUGUUAUUGCCUAAUAAAAUUUUCUGGGUUUUUU